AGUCGCUUCGGUUUGUUGUUUCAACUGCUGAAAGUUCAUGGAGGGAGGAAACUGCAGAGCACCUUACCAGACCAUACGUUGAUUGAAAAGUCUUAAUAUGCAGCGGUAAAGUGUUUAUUCGAUUCUGGGAAAAAAGUUAGUUCAUCCUGUUCGGUUAUGUCAGACCUAAACGACGGUUAGAUACUUAAUUUCAGCAAAAUAAGGGAGAGCGGAUAUAAACUGACUCACCCACAGUUAGCAGUGGCGCCACUGCUAACUGACAACAUCGUGGGGUCACCGUCAAAGAAGAGACUGGGGACGUUUAAGAGGUUCCACCAUGCCUCAAACACCGAAGUCCCCAUGGAGUCUCUGAGGCCUCAAGAGAGGAAACUUCAGGAUGUGGUAACAGAAAGGCUGGAAGCAGUAGCGGCAGCGUCUCUAUACAGUCUUCAGUGGUGACUGAUGAUGUCCUCAGAUGUUUCUGCACCCUGGAGACCAGCCUGAGAGACACUGUACACAAACUGGUAUGUGUGGGUGUGUAGGAUUUCACCACACUGAGGGGUUGAGGUGUCAACAGUAGCUGACUGGGUUCUGCUGACUUUGAAUAAUUAAAAAGGAUUAAUGACAAAAGA